rnacentral:rRNA from 1 species
GAUGAACGCUGGCGGCGUGCCUAAUACAUGCAAGUCGAGCGAACGGACGAGAAGCUUGCUUCUCUGAUGUUAGCGGCGGACGGGUGAGUAACACGUGGAUAACCUACCUAUAAGACUGGGAUAACUUCGGGAAACCGGAGCUAAUACCGGAUGAUAUUUUGAACCGCAUGGUUCAAAAGUGAAAGACGGUCUUGCUGUCACUUAUAGAUGGAUCCGCGCUGCAUUGGCUAGUUGGUAAGGUAACGGCUUACCAAGGCAACGAUGCAUAGCCGACCUGAGAGGGUGAUCGGCCACACUGGAUCUGAGACACGGUCCAGACUCCUACGGGAGGCAGCAGUAGGGAAUCUUCCGCAAUGGGCGAAAGCCUGACGGAGCAACGCCGCGUGAGUGAUGAAGGUCUUCGGAUCGUAAAACUCUGUUAUUAGGGAAGAACAUAUGUGUAAGUAACUGUGCACAUCUUGACGGUACCUAAUCAGAAAGCCACGGCUAACAACGUG